UACAGAGGGUGCGAGCGUUAAUCGGAAUUACUGGGCGUAAAGGGUGCGUAGGUGGUUUGGUAAGUUAGAUGUGAAAUUCCUGGGCUUAACCUGGGGACUGCGUCUGAUACUGCUGAGCUAGAGUACUGUAGAGGAAAGUGGAAUUUCCGGUGUAGCGGUGAAAUGCGUAGAUAUCGGAAGGAACAUCAGUGGCGAAGGCGACUUUCUGGACAGAUACUGACACUGAGGCACGAAAGCAUGGGUAGCAAACAGG
rnacentral:rRNA from 1 species